rnacentral:rRNA from 1 species
GAUGAACGCUGACAGCAUGCUUAACACAUCAGCAAUUGAUUGGUGGCGGACGGGUGAGUAACGCGUAAAGAACUUGCCUCACCGCUAGGGACAACAUUUGGAAACGAAUGCUAAUACCUAAUCCUGUACGAGAGCUGUGCGUCCCAUUAGCUAGUUGGAGAGGUAACGGCUCACAAAGGCGAUGCUGGGUCGCCGGCCUGAGAGGGUGAUCGGCCACAAGGGGAAUGAGAAACGGCCCUUAGUCCUACGGGAGGCAGGAGUGGGGAAUAGUGGAAAACGGACCAAAGUCUGAUCCAGCAAUUCUGUGUGCACGAUGAAGUUUUCGGAAUGUAAAGUGCUUUCAGUUGGGAAGCGGUACCAACAGAAGAAGCGACGGCUAAAUACGUGCCAGCAGCCGCGGUAAUAC